UACGUAGGGGGCAAGCGUUGUCCGGAAUUAUUGGGCGUAAAGAGCGCGUAGGCGGUCCGAUAAGUCGGCUGUGAAAGUCAGGGGCUCAACCCUUGAAAGCCGGCCGAUACUGUCGGACUAGAGUCCGGAAGAGGCGAGUGGAAUUCCCGGUGUAGCGGUGAAAUGCGCAGAUAUCAGGAGGAACACCAAUGGCGAAGGCAGCUCACUGGGACGGUAUUGACGCUGAGACGCGAAAGCGUGGGGAGCAAACAGG
rnacentral:rRNA from 1 species